rnacentral:lncRNA from 1 species
UGGUUCGAUGCCAACCUUGCACCUACAUCCACUUCUCAAGUUUCUACUUGAAAAUUCAAUCCACUAAAAGGAUUUCAAUAAAUACAACACGUCGGAUAACUCCGACCCUUACUAUCCAAGCAAGAACACUUAUUUUUCAAGUAUAAGCCGAUCCUCAACAAUCCAAUUUUAGGUUCGGAUCAAUCCAAUCGAGUUUUGAAAUCCCUCAAAACUCAAAAAAUCCAAAUAUAAUGUGAAUAAAAUAGAGUACAAAAAUUUCAGCACA